CAAGUCCCACCCGGGCAAGGCUGGUCACCACCCGGAAGCGAGUCUUGGGCUGUCCCGUGGCGACGCGGGCGGUUAAGCGUAGACAGCGAGCCAGUAGGCCGCGGGGAUAGAGCACCGAAAAGACCCUCUUUGUGGCGCAGAGGGCCGGGGUCAGGCCU
rnacentral:autocatalytically_spliced_intron from 1 species